rnacentral:rRNA from 1 species
GCUAAACGCGAAGAACCUUACCCAGGCUUGACAUCCCUGGAAGGUCUCCGAAAGGAGACUGUGCCUUCGGGAAUCAGGUGACAGGUGCUGCAUGGCCGUCGUCAGCUCGUGUCGUGAGAUGUUUGGUUAAGUCCAUUAACGAGCGCAACCCUUGUAAGUAGUUGAAUUUUUCUACUUAGACCGCCUCGGUAACGGGGAGGAAGGAGGGGAUGAUGUCAGGUCAGUAUUGCCCUUACGCCUGGGGCUACAAACACGCUACAAUGGCCGGUACAAAGGGCAGCCAACCCGCGAGGGGAGCAAAUCCCACUCAAAACCGGUCCCAGUUCGGAUAGCAGGCUGAAAUUCGCCUGCUUGAAGUCGGAAUCGCUAGUAACGGUGAGUCAGCUAUAUUACCGUGAAUACGUUCCCGGGUCUUGUACACACCG